rnacentral:rRNA from 1 species
AUUAAUAAUUAAUAUAUUUAAUAAAAAUAAUUUUAAUUUAAUAAAUAUUUUAAUGGGGGUUAAAGUAUUUUUUAAAGAAAAAAUUUUUAAAUUUAUAGUUAAUUAGUAUUGUGAAAGAAUUUUGAAAUAUUAUGAAAAAUAAAAUUUUUAGAAAGUAAUUUUUAUUUAUUGUAUCUUGUGUAUCAGAGUUUAUUAAAAAUUUUUAAUUUAUAAAUUAAUUUCUCGAAUUUAAAAGAGUUAAAUAAUUAUUAAAGUUAUUGUAGCAAAAUUAUUUUAAAUAAUUAUUUAGAAAUGAAAUGUUAAUCGUUUUUAAAUAUAUCUAGUUUUUAUAGAAAAAAAUUUAAUUUUAAAUUUAAAAAUUAUUUAAUUAAUUUAUUAAUUAAAUAAUUAUUUAAAUUUUAUAAUUUAAGGGAUAAGCUUUAAAUUAAAUUUUUAUAAUAUUAAAUUUUUAUUUUGAAAAUUUUAUAAUUUAUAUUGUUAAUAAAUUUUAUUUUGUUAUAAAUAAUUUCAUUUUUUUUAAAAUUUAAAUUUUAUUUAAUUUUUUAUAUAAAAUUUAUUUAUAAUUAUAUAAAGUUAAUUAUAAUGAUAAAAUUAGUAUAUUAUUUAAUAUUAAAUUAAAAUUAAUUUUUGAUUAAUAAUUAAAUUAAUUAAAAGGAAUUCGGCAAAUAUUUAUUUUCACUUGUUUAUCAAAAACAUGUCUUUUUGUUAUUUAAUUUAAAGUCUAAUCUGCCCACUGAUUUAUAAAAAUUGAAGGGCUGCAGUAUAUUGACUGUACAAAGGUAGCAUAAUCAUUAGUCUCUUAAUUGGUGACUUGUAUGAAAGAUUGGAUGAAAAAUAUACUGUCUCUUAAUUAAUAUAUAGAAUUUAAUUUUUUAUUUAAAAAGUUAAAAUAAUUUAAAAAGACGAGAAGACCCUAUAGAGUUUAAUAAAUUAUUUUAUGAAAGUUUUAUUUAUAUUUACUAAUAAUUUUAUAAAUUUAUUUAUUUUGUUGGGGUGAUAAAAAAAUAAAUUUAACUUUUUUUAAAUAAUUUACAUGAAUAAGUGAUUAAU